GAGGCCGGUUAUCGGAAUGAGUAAAAUUUAAAUCUGUUAACGAGCAUCUAUGAGAGGGCAAGUCUGGUGCCAGCAGCCGCGGUAAUUCCAGCUCUCAAAGUGUAUAUCGUUAUUGCUGCGGUUAAAAAGCUCGUAGUUGGAUCUGCAUCUAAGGAUCUGGUCCAUCCAAAUGGAUGCGAACUAGGAUCCUAGGCUAGUUAAGCCAGUCUUUUUUUCUAUGUUACUUUAAUCGGUUGCAUAGAAAGG
rnacentral:rRNA from 1 species